rnacentral:lncRNA from 1 species
AUGGCAUCUAGCGAAAUAUCAUGAAUGAGUUCUACUCCACUGACACUCUCAGACCAGUACCUCCCCUAACAGUGUGGUGACUCAGACAGAGUCAGACAUGGCAUGUACUUAAAGAAUGUUAUUUGAGAACAGCACCAACAUAUAGGCCUAAGAAGGACAAAAGUUCUUUGCCAACAACUUGCUCUUAGGACAGAUACUUGGGGAAAGAGAAUACAGACAGAAGGACGCAAAGGGAGAUCUACAGAGGCAAGUCCACAGUAAAGAAGAGAAGCAGAAAUCUGGAAACCUACAGAGAGAGACAACAGCCUGGAGGCCUUUGAUAGACUUUCCUCUUCACCUGGCCUGAAAGCAUUAGAGCAGGUGAGCAUCUCCUGUAACCACCCUUCAGUACACCAAUGAACUCUCCACUACUUGGAAAUUGUCCCUUUUCAGGGACAAAAAUAAUUUUUUCCAGUGUUUUUAAAAGCUUUAUUGAGAUAUAAUUGAUAUACAAAAAUUUGCACACAUUUAAUGUAUACAUCUUGAUGAAUUUGGAUAUAUGCAUCCAC